GUCGUCACCACCAUGUGACGUAAAGAGCUUUCAGAUUGAGAGCUGACAAACUGUUAAGGAAGAAAUCGAUG
rnacentral:sRNA from 1 species